AUGGCCAAAGGUCCAAAGGUAACACAUCCCGAGUAUGUUGAUUUCAAUAGUGAUGAAGAUGACUUGUUGGGUGAUGAUGAUUUACUUAUUGACAACUCUAGUGAUGAAUACUAUGAUGAAACGUCAAUUAAUCAUGCUAAACAGGAUAAAACGAAUGACAAUGAUAAGGAGAAGAUUGAGCUUCUAACUAAAGAACCAAACACUCUUAAGUUAGCUCAUGAAACUAUCUUCGAAAAUCAUCGAGAACUUUUAAGGGCUCAUGAGAAGUUAUGCUUUGAAAAGCUCAAUCUUGAGCAAGAACAUGAGUUCUUAAAGGCAAUCAAUGAUGAUCUUCGCAAAAAAAGUUCUUCUCAUAUUGCCAAGCGUUUACUCUUAUCAACUUACAUGCCUCAAGUCAAGUCUAGUAACAAGGACAAGAAAGAUUCUUCCUCUAGUAGUAACAAUAAUAAUGCUAAAUCAAAUAUUGUUGCUUCUAGUAGUUCUCUUGAUUCCACUAAUGAUUCUCUUAGCCAAGUUACACUUGAGGAAGAAAACAGCUUAUUGAAGGGAAUUAUAGAGAAAGGUGUAUACAAGAGCCUUGCCGGGCGUAAGCAAUUCGAGGAAAUUGUACGCAAGAAAGGAAGGCACCGGAAGAAUCAAGGUGUUGGUUUUGAACGAAAGUUCAAUGCCAAUGGAGUUGAGUGGGAAGAAGAUCAAUACCCCAAGACUAAGUUUGUUCCUCAACAAGAGAAGUAUGAUCCUACUUCUUUCAAGGGAACACAAGCUCAAGAUGAUCUUCCACCACAAGACCGAAAGGGCAAAGACAAGCUUCAAGAGGAGAUUGAUGCAUUUGAAGAAGCACCUAAGGCCUUGGUCAAGUGGGUUCCCAAGACUACGUCAAGUUCUACUUCAUCAAGUACAACUACAACUCCAAGGAUUCCCAUCAAGAUGAUGUGGAUCCCGAAGAAGAAGAACUAG
rnacentral:rRNA from 1 species